CAUACAUUCCCUUUGGACAGUAAGAUGAAACGACUCAAUAUCGCCAUCUGCGACCUACUGGGUGCAUGGCGGACGCCGGGUAGAAUUCCCUAGACAACCUGCACCGUCUGGUCCCGACAAUGGAACAGAUGCCGACUCUAGUUCCACUGAGAACUUGUAAGAGCGUAUGACAUCAAUGAAGAAUCUCGUCAGCAUGCUUCAGAAUGUGGAUGGUCGGAUGGAAGGCUGGUUCCAGCUGUAGCUAGUUCACACACAUGGUCACAGACUGAGGUGCCUGACCCUUUGGACAGAUACCAAUCCUCUGAGUGGCACAAUUCAGGAUGAAUGGAUGAUGGAGGCAGUGGACUACAAGAACAGCUGACAUGGCGGAAGCAGCCAGGGGUUAUUUUUACCGUGUGUGGAGUUCCGUUCAACUGCCAAGGGAGCGAGCUGCAGGAAACGCAAGUGGUCAAGGAGUCAAGGAAACAGGCUUUCCUUGGCACACAAAGCAGCCCACAAUCUGUAUAACCUCAACAACCUCCACCCACCACCAGCACCACCUCCACCCUGAAAGAGAGGAGCAACACUGGGAUUCAAUACUCCACAAUCUGGGGGAGCGAGCGUGCCAACAUCCGUGAGAUGAGGUUUGGGCACAGAACCUGUUUCUCUCUUCCCUCUCUCUCUCUCUCUCUCUCUCUCAC
rnacentral:lncRNA from 1 species